CAUGUUUGAAAAGCUGUUUUGCAUACAUAAGCAUGUCUCAUAUAGUCUAAGUUCAAUCCGAGUGUGUACUGAUGCUAAUGCCUAUGUUUAAUCCAUCAAUGAAAGUCUAGCAUCAAUUAGAAAUUGUCUAAGUUGCUUGCAUCAUUGGUUUUGAUUGAAACUGUUGUGCAUAGCUUUAAUAUGUCUCAUGGAUUGAACCUGUUGCAUUCAUAUAGUUAAUGCUUUAGGAUUGUGCAUUCAUGAAUUGAUGCAUUUAAAAAAAAAAAACUAGCCUAAAUUGUCAAUGUAUUAGUAAAGCUUGCAUUGUCAUUUUAGAGAUUGAAAUCUGCUUGUUCUUGCCUUGAUUGAUUGGCUUGUUUCAAGUUUAUAUAUUGUUGUGGCAUUGGUGAUCAAACAGGAUGAAUUAUCUUGGUUUGAUCCCAAUGGGAUGAUCUGAUCUUGCAUUGAGUUGUGGUGGUGUUAGGUACACAAGGAAAGUGAUACAUGUAACUCGCCAACAGCCAAGAAUGUAGAGACAAAGGUCUUGUGCCAUUGCAUAUCAUCACUAGGACAUGUUAGUCCAUAAUCUACAGGAAGUGUAGUGUGAUUGAUUAUGCAAUGAGAGAUGGCCAUUGCAUAAUACCAUUGGAC
rnacentral:lncRNA from 1 species